UACGUAGGGGGCGAGCGUUGUCCGGAUUUACUGGGCGUAAAGGGCGCGUAGGCGGCCAGCGCAAGUCAGUUGUGAAAUCUCCGGGCUUAACUCGGAACGGUCAACUGAUACUGCGCGGCUAGAGUGCGGAAGGGGCAACUGGAAUUCUCGGUGUAGCGGUGAAAUGCGUAGAUAUCGAGAGGAACACCUGCGGCGAAGGCGGGUUGCUGGGCCGACACUGACGCUGAUGCGCGAAAGCCAGGGGAGCGAACGGG
rnacentral:rRNA from 1 species